rnacentral:tRNA from 1 species
GAUGGUUUGGCAGAAUUAUAUGCAUAUGAUUUAAGCUCAUAAGAUGUCUUUUGACAACUAUCU